UCCGAGAUCGUCUAACGGUAGGACUACUGCCUCUGGAGCAGUGUAUCCUGGUUCGAAUCCAGGUCUCGGAGCCA
rnacentral:tRNA from 1 species